UAGGGAAUAUUGGACAAUGGGCGAAAGCCUGAUCCAGCCAUGCCGCGUGAUAGAUGAAGGCCCUCUGGGUUGUAAAUAUCUUUUAUCUGGGAAGAAACACCUUAUUUCUAUAAGGCUUGACGGUACCAGAGGAAUAAGCACCGGCUAACUCCGUGCCAGCAGCCGCGGUAAUACGGAGGGUGCAAGCGUUAUCCGGAUUCACUGGGUUUAAAGGGUGCGUAGGCGGGUAUAUAAGUCAGUGGUGAAAGCUCCGGGCUUAACUUGGAAACUGCCAUUGAUACUGUAUAUCUUGAAUGUCGUAGAGGUUAGCGGAAUGUUGCAUGUAGCGGUGAAAUGCUUAGAUAUGUUACAGAACACCAAUUGCGAAGGCAGCUAACUAUGCGAUGAUUGACGCUGAGGCACGAAAGCGUGGGGAGCAAACAGGAUUAGAUACCCCUGUAGUCC
rnacentral:rRNA from 1 species